rnacentral:lncRNA from 1 species
AUCCUACAGGUAGGAAUCUUGGGAAAGUUUUCAGAGAGUUUUUGAGGGUGACUCUAACAUCACAUAAUUUUAUAUUAAAAUUACACGAGUAAAUAUUACAAAUAAAGAAGUUAUAUUGCCCUUUGCUAUUUUAUUUUUUCUUAUACAUAUUAUAUUUUUAAUUUAAAAUUCAUGCAGUAUUUUUUGAUAAGUUUCCCCUGUCCAGUUUGCUUCUCCUCCCACUCCCUUCCCACUUGAACAUUAAUCUCUCUCAAUGCUUUCAUUCGCUCUACAUAAAAAGGAGGGCAAUUAAAAAACAAACCAAAAUACAAACAACAGCAGCAAAAAGCACCAAAAUGCACAAGAACCAUAUUCACACAAACACACAAACACACACACACACACACACCCCAUAAAGCAGCACCUAUGAUAUACAACUAAAAGACAGGUGAAUAAAAAAUGUCAGAACAAAACAAUAAAUAUGAGAAACAAAAUCUAGAAAAAAAUACUAUUGAAUUAAUUUUGUGUUGACUAUCUACUACUGGUCAUGAGAGCUACUUUAAGUGUGAUUUGUAUUUCCAAUGAAACUUUGUUGGAGAAAACUGAUUUUUCCUAUGUGAGCAGUUGUCUGCUGGAGAUGGAUUCUUGGUUACAUAUGGAAGCUCCUGCUCACUUUCCCCUCUUAAUUCUUGGACAAUUUCUGGCAUGAAUCUAUGGAUUUCCUAUGCAUGCCCCCAUAGCCUUUGUGAGUUUAUGGAUAUAUCAGUCUUGAUUUUCUGGAAGACACUGUUGUCUAUUUAUGUUCCAGACCCAAUGAUCCAUAGUCUUACUUAUUCCUCUUUUUUUGCAUUGCAUUAAACCUGAGGUGGAAAGAGUUUGAUGAAGAUUACCAAUUGAGGGUGAAAUAUUUCAGUCUGUCAGUUUCAUCACAUUGUUCAGUUGUGUUCCGGUGAAAUAUUUCAGUCUGUCAUUGUCUGCACAUUGCUCAGUUGUGUUUCUCUUUAUUAGUUUCCAUCUACUGAAGAGGAAACCUUCUCUGUUGAUGGCUGAGUGAGACAUGGAUCUACGGCUAUAGUCAAAUAUCAUUAGGAGCUAUUUUAUUGAUUUAUUUUGUUCUUCUAGCAGAAGAAUAGUAUUUGUAAUAGUAUUUAGACUUCUCCUGUGUCCCUGGACAAUCUCAUGUCAAGUUCUUAGCCAUCAAAGCUGUGUCAAGUAUGAGUUCCAUCUAAUGGAGAGGGCCUUACAUUAGAGGUGAGAGAGCUUGCUAACUUCCACAACAUUUGUGCCAUUAUUGCCCAGGCAAUAUAACUAGGUAGUGUGAACUACAGACCGUUCACCACUAUAGCUUACAUGAUUGAGAGUUGGGUCGGUAUAUACCUUUCUCAUCUGUCAGCAAGCAGAGUCUUCCAGUACCAUGAAGACUAGACAGUAGGGGUGAAGGCUCUAGUUGGGCACACGCUUAACUUCUAUGUAUUCAAUAAGAUAUGACAGUGAUGUCUUCAGCAAUUAGCCCUUUCCAUGUGGUUGGGAAAGCACCCAAUACCACCUUGGAAAUUUCCAAGUGUCCUUUUGGCCAACAACCCAAUUAGAUGUAACUUAUCCUUGACAGAGUAUGUUUCAGUAGUGGUAACAGAUAAUUGUCCUCAUUUUUCUUGUAUCUUCUUCAAUAUUGUCAUUUCUUUUAUUGAUCUUGGCCAUUACAACUAGUAUAAGAUGAAAUCAUAAAGUACUUUUGAUCUGCAUUUCUCUAGUGAAGAGUGUGUUGAAUAUUUUAAAAGUAACUCUCAGACAUUUCUGUUUCUUCUUUUGGGAACAUUCAGGUUAUUUCUGUAUCUCGUCUUUUAAAACUGGGUUAUUUGUUUUCUUGGUAUCCAGCUUUUUAAGUUCUUUAUAUCUUUUAGAUAGUACCCAUCAAAUGUGUAACUGGUAAGGAUCUUUUCCUAAUAUGUACCCUGAACUUUGCUCAAAUGAUGAUAUCUUUGCCAUAUGGAAGUUUUAAAGUGUAAUGAAGUCCUAUUUAAUUAUGUAUGUAUGUAUGUAUAUAUGUAUAUAUGUAUGUAUGUAUGUAUUUAUAUCCCAAAUGCUGCUCCCUCCCAGUCCCCUCCUCCCAGACACCUUUCCCCAUCCACUCUCCCCUUCUCAUCUGUGAAGGUACACUCGGCACCCUGUAUCUGCCCACCCUGGUGCAUCAGAUCUCUGUCUGAUUUACAAGGCAACCCUGUUGAGGAACAGAUACUACAGUAAGGGCACAGAUUUAGGGAGAGCCUCUGAUUCAGUUGUUGGUGGACUCACUUGGAAACUGAGCUGUAAGUCUGCUACAUAGGUUGCACAUAGGAACACAUAGGUUAUUCUUUGAUUGAUGGCUCAGUCUCAGAGCUCCCAGGGGUACAGGUCAAUUCACUUUCUUGGUCUUCCUGUAAGGUUACCAUCUCCUUCAGGGCCUUCAAUCCUUCCUCCAACUCUUCCAUAAGAGUUGGGCCCGACCUCCAUCUGAUGCUUAACUGUAGGUAUCUGUAUGUGCUUGAGUGGGCUGCUGUUUAGACAUGGAGAUUCUAAUUUCUUUUUUUGAAGGAAUGCUAGUUACCUUCUCUGUUCUUUUUGUCUGAAUUUAUUCUUAAACCAUUCUUCUAUUCAUUGCUAGAUAUAAUAAAAAUCAUUUUAAAGACUUAACUAACCGUUUGAUUUAUACUGCAUGAGAAUCAAUUUAUUUAUGGCUCAUGACAGAAUGCCUACGUUGUAAAGCCAUGUUACCCUAAUGAGGUCAUACCAGGAUCUUAAAAUAUGAAAGAUUAAAUAUAGCUUGUUUACACAUCUUUUCUUUGUUAUUUCUGUCUCUUGCUAUGUCAUACAAUCAUGUAUUAGUACUAGGUAUCACUUUAUAGCCCAAGCUUUUCUAAGAUUAAUUCUGUAGUCAUACUUAUACCUCAGUCUGGAUAUUGAGUGGGUCAUAGACAUGUGCUACUGUGUCCAUCUGUCCAAAUUUGAAAAAUACAUAUUUUUAAUAUUUUGUUACUAGGACUAAAUCCAGCAUCCAGUCCUUACAAAGCAUGACAGAGGAUUUUUUUGGUAGUUUUUUUUUUUCAGAAGAAUUUAUAAGAUGAAUUGACAAAAUCUAAAUUAUCAGAGUAUCAACAAUUUAGGAAAAUGAGAAUCAUGCUGCCUUGGGGUAGAGCAGUUCUUUGACCUCUAGAAGCUCACCUUAGAGUAAGGAGAGCAGUUUCAUGUUGCAGAGAGCAUUGUACUGAAGUACAACAAAGAUUCAAUCAUCAGACCCUGUGAAGCAUGUGGGAAUAAACACUAAGGCUCUCCUAGUGAGAAAAAUGAAGGCAAUCUCAUUUUAUGUAUCCUAAUUGCUGCUGUGGUGACUGAUUGCUAUAACUGAGAAGGCAGAUUCUGUACUGUUACUGCACACACAGUGUCUCUAUUUUUUGCUCUAUAUUUUUUACGUGUUUCAUGAAGUGAAAAUAUAAUUUUGUGUUAUGUCUAUAUUUUCUACAUGAUCCUUGAUUUUGUGAUAAUUUCUUAGGCAAAAGAAAAAGAAUUCCCAAUCUUGCUAUUCUUUGAUCC